UUCCAGCUCCAAUAGCGUAUACUAAAGUUGCUGCAGUUAAAAAGCUCGUAGUUGGAUUUCUGGUCGUGGUCGCCGGUCGUGCCCAAACGGGUUCUGUACCUGGCGCCCGCGUCCAUCCUCGGGGAGAGCGUGUCUGGCAUUAAGUUGUCGGGCUCGGGACCCCCGUCAUUUACUGUGAGCAAAAUAGAGUGUUCAAAGCAGGCUUAGGCCAUGAAUACAUUAGCAUGGAAUAAUAAGAUAAGACCUUGGUCUAUUUUGUUGGUUUGCAUUCCAAGGUAAUGAUUAAUAGGGAUAGUUGGGGGUAUUCGUAUUCAAUUGUCAGAGGUGAAAUUCUUGGAUUUAUGGAAGACGAACUACUGCGAAAGCAUUUACCAAGGAUGUUUUCAUUA
rnacentral:rRNA from 1 species